rnacentral:rRNA from 1 species
GACGAACGCUGGCGGCGUGCUUAACACAUGCAAGUCGAACGGUGAAGCACCUUCCUUUUGGUGGGUGUGGAUGAGUGGCGAACGGGUGAGUAACACGUGAGUAACCUGCCCCCUUCUUCUGGAUAACCGCAUGAAAGUGUGGCUAAUACGGGAUAUUCUGCGCCUGCUGCAUGGUGGGUGUGGGAAAGAUAUUGUUUCGGUGGGGGAUGGGCUCGCGGCCUAUCAGCUUGUUGGUGGGGUGAUGGCCUACCAAGGCGGUGACGGGUGGCCGGCCUGAUAAGGUUGACUGUCCCACUGGGACUGAGACACGGCCCAGACUCCUACGGGAGGUUUUAUUGUGGAAUAUUGCACAAUGGGCGCAAGCCUGAUGCCCCGACGCCCCGCGAGGGAUGGAACCUUCUCGUUGUAAACCUCUUUCCCCAUGAACAAGCCUGUCCAUUUGGGGGUGGGUUGAGGGAAGCUAGUAAAAA